rnacentral:rRNA from 1 species
GCCCGUUCGGGGGAAAGCCGGGGACCUUCGGGCCUGGCGCGAUUGGAUGAGCCCACGUCGGAUUAGCUAGUUGGCGGGGUAAAGGCCCACCAAGGCGACGAUCCGUAGCUGGUCUGAGAGGAUGAUCAGCCACACUGGAACUGAGACACGGUCCAGACUCCUACGGGAGGCAGCAGUAGGGAAUAUUGGACAAUGGGCGCAAGCCUGAUCCAGCCAUGCCGCGUGAGUGAAGAAGGCCCUCGGGUUGUAAAGCUCUUUUGUCCGGAAAGAAAAGCGCCGGGUUAAUACCCUGGUGUCCUGACGGUACCGGAAGAAUAAGCACCGGCUAACUUCGUG